UACGAAGGGGGCUAGCGUUGUUCGGAAUUACUGGGCGUAAAGCGCACGCAGGCGGCACCGCGCGUGGGGUGUGAAAUCUGGCCGCUUAACGGCCAGGCGCCAUCCCAUACGGCGGAGCUGGAGUGAUGCAGAGGUCGAUGGAAUUGCCGGUGUAGUGGUGAAAUGCGUGAAGAGAUCGGGCAGGAACACCCAGGGGGAAACCAGUC
rnacentral:rRNA from 1 species